AAGAUCCCUGAAAGAUGAUCAGGUAGAUAGGAUGGAAGUGGAAGUGCUGCGAGGCAUGGAGCGGACCAUUACUAAUCGAUCGAGGACUUAACCAAG
rnacentral:rRNA from 1 species